rnacentral:rRNA from 1 species
UACGUAGGGGGCAAGCGUUGUCCGGAAUCAUUGGGCGUAAAGCGCGUGUAGGCGGCCCGGUAAGUCCGCUGUGAAAGUCGGGGGCUCAACCCUCGAAUGCCGGUGGAUACUGUCGGGCUAGAGUGCGGAAGAGGCGAGUGGAAUUCCUGGUGUAGCGGUGAAAUGCGCAGAUAUCAGGAGGAACACCAAUUGCGAAGGCAGCUCGCUGGGACGUGACUGACGCUGAGACGCGAAAGCUAGGGGAGCAAACGGG